CCAAACUUAAAAGUGGAAAAAGGAGGUGGAAGUUUCCCCAAGACAACCUAGGAAGGUUUGGCCUUAAGAACCAGCCCCAACCCUUUAAAAGAAAAGCCCGUAACCAAGCGUCCAACUGGUCCAAAACCGGAUUUCUUGCCCCCGGAAAAAAGUAUUACCCGGGGGCCUUAAAAUUAGGCACCCGGGAAACCUUGGUAAGACACCUUGGAACCGUAAUCCAAAUUGGUUAGAAAGACCCGGUUCCUAAAACCAACCCGUUUGAAACCUAAUACCUUGGGUUAAAGGAAGUUAAUUGGAACCGGUUUAAGAAAGUGGAACCAACCAAGCCAAUGAAAUUUACCGGAGAAAAAAGGGUUGAAGAAUCCCCCUUUUCGCCCCGGUAAAACCCAAGGGUUUCUUACCCCGAAUGGUUCCGCCAAUGUAGGGUUAGUCGGGUCCUAAGCUGAGUCCGAAAGGGGUAAGCGAUGGAAAAUCGGUUAAUAUUCCGAUACCAACUAUAGAGCGUGAUGGGAGGACGCAUAGGGCUAUGUGAGGUCACUGAUGGAAUAGUGGCUCGAAGGGUGUAGGCUGGGAGAGAAAGGAAAAUCCACUCUCCUAUAGCUGAGACCUGACAGGCUGUGGAGGCUCUUAGGAGCCAAAACAGAAUCACAGAUGCCGAAGUGCCAAGAAAAGUCUCUAAGCAUAUCUAUAGUUGCCCGUACCGUAAACCGACACAGGUGGGUGAGAUGAGAAUUCUAAGGCGCGUGGAAGAACCAUUGUUAAGGAACUCUGCAAACUAGCACCGUAUCUUCGGUAGAAGGUGUGCCUACUUGGGUGAAGCCCUUAGCGGGUGGAGCCUGAGAGGUUGCAACAAAGAGUCCCUCCCGACUGUUUAUCAAAAACACAGCACUAUGCUAACUCGUAAGAGGAUGUAUAUGGUGUGACGCCUGCCCGGUGCCGGAAGGUUAAAUGAUGGGGUUAGCCGUGAGGCGAAGCUCUUGAUUGAAGCCCCGGUAAACGGCGGCCGUAACUAUAACGGUCCUAAAGGUAGCGAAAUUCCUUGUCGGUUAAAUACCGACCUGCAUGAAUGGCGUAACGAGAUGGGAGCUGUCUCAACAAUGGGUCCAGUGAAAUUGUAGUGGAGGUGAAAAUUCCUCCUACCCGCGGCAAGACGGAAAGACCCCCGUGCACCUUUUACUACAGCUUGACACCUGCAAUCGGGAUAGAUAUGUGCAGGAUAGGUGGGAGGCUUGGAAGCUAGGACGCUAGUCCUAGUGGAGCCAACCUUUGAGAUACCACCCUUAUCUAUUCUGGUUGCUAACUUGCGAGUGUUAUCCACUCGGAGGACAAUGUCUGGUGGGUAGUUUGACUGGGGCGGUCGCCUCCUAAAAAGUAACGGAGGCUUACAAAGGUUAGUUCAUAUGGGUUGGAAAUCCAUAGAAGAGUAUAAUGGCAUAAACUAGCUUAACUGCGAGACAGACAAGUCGAGCAGAGACGAAAGUCGGUCAUAGUGAUCCGGUGGUUCUGAGUGGAAGGGCCAUCGCUCAAAGGAUAAAAGGUACGCCGGGGAUAACAGGCUGAUCUCCCCCAAGAGCUCACAUCGACGGGGAGGUUUGGCACCUCGAUGUCGGCUCAUCGCAUCCUGGGGCUGAAGCAGGUCCCAAGGGUAUGGCUGUUCGCCAUUUAAAGCGGUACGCGAGCUGGGUUCAGAACGUCGUGAGACAGUUCGGUCCCUAUCUGCCGUGGGCGUAGGAAGGUUGAGGAGAGUUGCCCCUAGUACGAGAGGAUCGGGUGAACGAGCCACUGGUGCA
rnacentral:rRNA from 1 species